UUCCGGCGCGAGAGAGGAGAAAAACUUUUCUCUUUUCUUCAUCAUCAUCAAAUCUACUUAGAUUCUAGGUUUACCCUGAAAUUCUAGUCUUCGUUUCAACAAAUCAAAACCCAUGUUCUAGAAAUGUUAUAAUCGAUUCAUUAGUUUAAAUCUUCCUAAACCCUAAUUCUAGAAAAUCAACUUUUUCUCUGAAAUCUAAAAUUAAAUUAUUCAUUAGGAUUAUCAGCAGCAUUUGUGGAUUAUCAUCAGGACUGAGUAUCAUAGAGGUGUAAAUACUUUCAGGUUGAGUAGGCUAUUGAAGCAAUUAAGGAUGUGAGUUGGAGCCUGAGUUUGUGACAGAGUUGCCGAAAGAGAUCUUUAAGAGGCCUAAACUUAAGAACCACUCACUUGGAUUGAGAAGAUCUGGAGCAGUCAAGUCUUCCAAUCCUGUUCCAUCAUCGGAAAAGACAAGCAUUCCUAUCAGCAAAAAAGGUACCAAUGUAUUGAACGCGGCUGUUAAUCGCAUAGAGAGGUUUGUUAGGUUUCAUAUUUGUAUAAGGUACCAACUUGGCAAAUCACUCAUUUCUCAUUUCACAGUUAACUAGUUGUCAUGGUUCUCUAACUGGUAUUUCAUAUUUGUAUUUUUUUUGUUGUUGUGUAUGGACGCGUCCCGGAGGAGUGCUCUGGAUUUGAGGAACCUUGGACCACCAACCCCCUCAUCUUCGAUAAUGCAUACUUUAUGUAUAUUACUCCCAUCCUUUUUAAGCGGUUUCUCAUUCAGCCAAGCUAUAUAAUGAUCUUAGGUGGAAUGUUACUGGACCUAAAGGUUUUGAGGAAGUUAUGCAUGUGAGAUGCAGUCAGGGUCAUCAAGUUCAAGAGGAUAUUCGAAGCUUUUGCAGGCGCAUUCGGUGUUGAUUUUGUGGUGUAUAGCAUUCUACCGGGAAAUUUUAUUCGAUCACAUCGACUCUACAGGAUUGAGUUAAUGUUCUUCCACCUGUCGUAAUGUGUGGGAUGCUAAAGACUUCUCAGAAUGUAACAAAAGAAGGUUAGGGUUUUCAUAGUUUGAAAUUCAGAAACUUGCGUUUACA